UUUGGGGACCCCCCUGUGUUGGGACUUACAAGUACCUGGACACCAAAUACUCCUGUGUCCAACAGCCCGAAACAAUAAGCAGCAUCAUAUGUGAAGGCUCUGAUUCCCAACUACUAUGUGAUCGGGGUGAGAUCCA